GAAGAAGGUGCUGUGCACGGGCUCAUUUGACUACGCAUAGUACUGUAUUAGAGACUGAAACGGUUGGAGUUUCUACAUUUGUGUUGUACUGAAGAAACAAAAUCACAUACAUCUUGGAUGGCCUCGGGACCCUUUUGCCAGUAUGAAGCCGAUUUCAACGGUAACUGCAGAAAGCGUCAGCACGCUCAGCUCAUCACUGGAGUAACGUCUGUACAACGGGUGAGAUAAAACUCAACGCCUGACUGAAUCAUCCAUUCCCUUUUCGAUCCUACGCCAUACGUUAAACUUGAGGUAAGUCUUGUGUUCAGUUUCCUUAAAAAGCAUCAACAUUCACGCUAAGCAUAGUUUCAAUCGAGUUCCCGUCACAUCAUAUAUUAACUCUAUUUCGAACUGUUGCUGAUUACAUGUUGGUUAUUAUUGAUUCGUUCAUGUUCCUUUGACAUGUUCAUGUACUUUUUUCCAGAUGAAACAAACAUAAAGAAUUCAUAAUUCAUUUAAGAAUUAUUAAUUAGGACAACAUCAAAUUAUUUAUCAUGUCUGAGAAAAGUAGUGCAAAUUUUGGAUAAUAUGAAAGUGGCUCCAACUUUUAUGGCGCGAACGAAGCUAGCAUUGACUAGCUGGGAUGUUAAAUAAUGGGACGCAAUUUUUAUUAAAUGCAAUUUACGUGAUUAAUAUUUACAAGCAUAGUGUUCUUUGGAGGAAAAUUAAGUGGAACAAAAUGUUAGCUGGUAGUGCUGUGACAAAUCGCAGUUGAUCCGAACCACGGUUUGGCUCGCAUGUGAUUCGCGGAUUAAUAUAUACCAGUGUAUGGAAUGUCACAAUUAUAGAUUUGUGUGUAAACUUAAACAUGUCUUGAUGGACCCUAAUUUAUGCACUGUGCAGUUAUGCUGGUAGUUGGGUAAUGUCAUAAUGGUUAUUGGGUUGGGCUUGGACUAAAAAAGGGAAAUUGUAAUGGUUUAGUAUAAUAAGACAUUAUGUAUGGUUUUGUACAAUGCUAAUCUUUUUUUCUUUUUUCCUCAGGUAAUCUUGCUUUUGCUGUUCUAAAAUAAACACUGCUCUUAGGUAAGAAUGGCUGAUCAAAUGCAUUAUUUUAAAUCUAAUCUGAGACACAAAGCAGUUAAAUCGUUGUCUAAUUUGCUGCAAGGUAUUAAGAACGACAGUAAGCUUGUUGACGAUGAUCUGACUGAUGACUGAUAUGUGUGAUGAGAUUAAAACUAUGGCUGUGCAAAAAAAUCGAUACAGCUAACUACCAUGAUAGUUAGCUGUAUCGAUAGUGUAUCGAUAUUUCGAUCUCUACUGUCGAUAUUUUAAAAACCAUCAAAUCCCUCUGUGUGCGUCAAACGACCUCCUCGCCGCUGCUAUAGUUGUCACUGUCCAGUUGUCUGCCAUAUACGGCCAUUCGGCCAAUGUCUCAGAAGUUAGAGGGAGUGAGAAAAUGGCAGAAAAUUUUAAAACACCUGCAUCUUUCAAAGAGCUGCAGGUGUUCAGCUCUAUUUUUUACAUUUUUGAUUGUAUUGUGAUACGUAUCUUAUCAUGACCCAUGUAUCGUGACACGUAUCGUAUCGGGAGGCCCUUGCCAAUACCCAGCCCUAAUUAAAACAACUUUUCUUUUAGCACACCACCCAUACAUGGCACACAAAACAGGUCUUGUGAGGGGGCUGUGCCCACAGGUAGAAAUUCUGUAGGUCCACGGGCUUCUCCCCUUUCAGCGAACAUCACAGCGCUUAGUCCACCAUCGUGGUCUCCAAUCUCCAUUACCAACAGCCUGAGUGCUACACCUACAGACACCCCAACCCAUGCAGCAGCUGGCAGAAGUCAGACAUCAGGCCAAACUGGAUUUCAACACACCCCACCCUUACAUGGCACACAAGUAUAUGACACACAACACAGGUCUUCUCAGGAGGCUGUGCCUACAGAGAGCAGCAGUUGCAGACUUCACCCCAGACCCAACACAUUUUGGGCUCCCACUUUCAACUAUUGAGGAGCUACAAUGUUUGUAGGAGACAUUAAAUAAUCCAGAUGAGAAGAAGAAUUUGGUGAGACUGUUUUUCCUGGAAUGGUCGGAGACAAGACUCUUAAAGACACUGUGGGGUGGGUCCUGAAAAAAACUAUGAACUCUUCGUGGUGAGACUCAUCAAUUGAAGUGGGGUCAACUGAAGCCUGCAUUCAAAGGGCUCACUUUGAAAAGUGUGGUUUUGGAUGCAGUCCGCCGGAAUGCCCUGACCAAAGAUAACACAGAAAAGGAGAUAGAGCUCCUCAUCACCAGGUGGUCGGUGCUAGCAUAUGACAGGGAUGGUGGCCGAAUCCAGACAAUAGACAGACAAUGAAUUAAAAUGUUUUAAAUUUAAAAAUGUUGAUUUUUGGAAAAUUCGUAUUUGAACUGAUUGUGUGUGUGUGUGCACCUGGUAAUUAUCACGUUGUGUCCCCACAAAGAUAGGAAUACCAGUAUUUUUGUGACCUUGUGUCCCCAUGAGGAAACAAGCUUAUAAAUCAAACAAAAUGAUGUUUCUUGUAAAUGUGAAGUAGGAGAAGGGUUUCUGUGAUGGUUGGGUUUAGGGAAUGGGGUAGGUAAGGGGAAUAAAAUAUACAGUUUGUAUGGUAUAAAAUGCAUUACGUCUAUGGAAUGUC